GGUUCGGUGGUGGGUGGUCCACAUCUGCGCUUUAUAUAUGGGCAUCCAAAAAUUGAGCAGAAGGAGCCUGUUCGAUUCGGGCCCGAGUCA